rnacentral:rRNA from 1 species
UUGGAGGGCAAGUCUGGUGCCAGCAGCCGCGGUAAUUCCAGCUCCAAUAGCGUAUAUUAAAGUUGUUGCAGUUAAAAAGCUCGUAGUUGAAUUUCGGGAUCAAUAUAUCGGUCGUGCCUUGGUACGUACUGGUAUCAUUGGUUUCUCCUUUCUGACGAACCAUGAUGUCAUUAAUUUGGUGUUAUGGGAAGUUAGGACUGUUACUUUGAAAAAAUUGGAGUGUUUAAAGCAGGCUUUGGCUUGAAUACAUUAGCAUGGAAUAAUGAAAUAGGACGUUCGAACCUAUUUUGUUGGUUUCUAGGAUCAACGUAAUGAUUAAUAGGGAUAGUUGGGGGCAUUAGUAUUCAAUUGUCAGAGGUGAAAUUCUUGGAUUUAUUGAAGACUAACUACUGCGAAAGCAUUUGCCAAGGAUGUUUUCAUUAAUCAAGAACGAAAGUUAGGGGAUCGAAGACGAUCAGAUACCGUCGUAGUCUUAACCAUAAACUAUGCCGACUAGGGAUCGGAUGAUGUUAAUUUUUUAAUGACUCAUUCGGCGCCUUACGGGAAAC